ACCUAUCAUUCUUAUUAUUCCGAGACGCUGCAGAGAAGGUUACUCUUGUUAUCAUUGCUGGGUACUUGUUUCUGAAAUUUUUCUUCCAAAAAAGCCUUAUGGAGUUAGACUCUUUCAUAUUUACGUGCGCGUUAUCGCCGAGUUUAUCAUGAAGAUGCGUCUUAAAGAGGGUCUCUACCAUACUGGAAAACAAAUGAGAUGAAAAGUGGAAGUCUGUAAAGUGGUGUGAAAAUGAAAGGCGAGAGUCAGUCGAGUGAGUAUCUCCGACCCGAUAAAAACUAUUUGUCACCAACAGCAUUUUUCCUAUUUAUAAUCAUAGUCAACUAUAGCGUCGUUCUGCUGUUGGUAAUCGUUGAUGGAUGGGUCAACCACUGGUGUACCAAUGUCUCCUGGGGAUGGCGGAUACCGUACCGCAACGCCGACGUCUCACUACAAAACAACACUAAGAAGGCCGAAUGUUACACAGCCAUGUAUGCUGCCCAAGUUUUACAUUGCUCCAAGCUAUUACCAAAGAGAGGCUUCUGACUACACCAAGACCCCUAGUAUUACACCACAACCAACGCUUCUCCACUUACUAAACAAGUUAGUGUUGGCGUCGUGCUACUGUUAGGUGUUUCGUUGAUAGCGGGUCGACCACUGGUGUACCGAACUCUACCAACGUUGGGUGAGAUGAUUAAGA